rnacentral:rRNA from 1 species
GAUGAACGCUGGCGGCGUGCCUAAUACAUGCAAGUCGAGCGAACAGAUGAGGAGCUUGCUCCUCUGACGCUAGCGGCGGACGGGUGAGUAACACGUGGAUAACCUACCUAUAAGACUGGGAUAACUUCGGGAAACCGGAGCUAAUACCGGAUAAUAUAUUGAACCGCAUGGUUCAAUAGUGAAAGACGGUUUUGCUGUCACUUAUAGAUGGAUCCGCGCCGCAUUAGCUAGUUGGUAAGGUAACGGCUUACCAAGGCAACGAUGCGUAGCCGACCUGAGAGGGUGAUCGGCCACACUGGAACUGAGACACGGUCCAGACUCCUACGGGAGGCAGCAGUAGGGAAUCUUCCGCAAUGGGCGAAAGCCUGACGGAGCAACGCCGCGUGAGUGAUGAAGGUCUUCGGAUCGUAAAACUCUGUUAUUAGGGAAGAACAAAUGUGUAAGUAACUAUGCACGUCUUGACGGUACCUAAUCAGAAAGCCACGGCUAACUACGUG